UACAGACAGGGCAAGUGGACAGUUUCUCAACACGUGUCUGGCUGUCAUGGUGUACUUGGUGUUAAGUGGCGGCAUGAUUUAGUUGCCGCUGCACAGCUUGAUUGCAUUUCUGUACAGCGUUAUAGAACUGAGUUUGGCGAAGUCUGCACCGUGACACUAACUUCCUUUCACAUGCAUAUUUGUAUGCUGCAUGGUGGUGGCUGAACGGGAAGACGGAGGAAGUUCUGAACCUGAUGUUAAUAAAAUGCUUAUAAAUAGCAA